rnacentral:rRNA from 1 species
UACGUCGGGGGCAAGCGUUGUCCGGAUUUAUUGGGCGUAAAGAGCGUGUAGGCGGCCAUACAGGUCAGCUGUGAAAACUCGAGGCUCAACCUCGAGACGUCGGUUGAAACCGUAUGGCUAGAGUCCGGAAGAGGAGAGUGGAAUUCCCGGUGUAGCGGUGAAAUGCGCAGAUAUCGGGAAGAACACCCGUGGCGAAGGCGGCUCUCUGGGACGGUACUGACGCUGAGACGCGAAAGCGUGGGGAGCGAACAGG